rnacentral:rRNA from 1 species
GUUGACCUCGGAUCAGGUAGGAAUACCCCGCUGAACUUAAGCAUAUCAAUAAGCGGAGGAAAAGAAACCAACAGGGAUUGCCCCAGUAACGGCGAGUGAAGCGGCAACAGCUCAAAUUUGAAAUCUGGCCCCAGGCCCGAGUUGUAAUUUGCAGAGGAUGCUUUUGGCGCGGUGCCUUCCGAGUUCCCUGGAACGGGACGCCAUAGAGGGUGAGAGCCCCGUACGGUUGGACACCAAGCCUUUGUAAAGCUCCUUCGACGAGUCGAGUAGUUUGGGAAUGCUGCUCAAAAUGGGAGGUAUAUUUCUUCUAAAGCUAAAUAUUGGCCAGAGACCGAUAGCGCACAAGUAGAGUGAUCGAAAGAUGAAAAGCACUUUGAAAAGAGGGUUAAACAGCACGUGAAAUUGUUAAAAGGGAAGCGCUUGUGACCAGACUUGCGUCCGGUGAAUCACCCAGCUCUCGCGGCUGGGGCACUUCGCCGGCACAGGCCAGCAUCAGCUUGCCGUCGGGGACAAAAGCUUCAGGAACGUGGCUCCUCUCGGGGAGUGUUAUAGCCUGUUGCAUAAUACCCUUCGGCGGGCUGAGGUACGCGCUCCGCAAGGAUGCUGGCGUAAUGGUCAUCAGCGACCCGUCUUGAAACACGGACCAAGGAGUCAACCUUAUGUGCGAGUGUUUGGGUGUUAAACCCCUACGCGUAAUGAAAGUGAACGCAGGUGAGAGCUUCGGCGCAUCAUCGACCGAUCCUGAUGUUCUCGGAUGGAUUUGAGUAAGAGCAUAUAGGGUUGGACCCGAAAGAAGGUGAACUAUGCGUGUAUAGGGUGAAGCCAGAGGAAACUCUGGUGGAGGCUCGCAGCGGUUCUGACGUGCAAAUCGAUCGUCAAAUAUGCGCAUGG